rnacentral:ncRNA from 2 species
AUGAGGGGAGUGGAAGAGACCCUUUAAAGGGCGCCGAAGGAGCAAUUUUCCCCGGCAGGUGACGGGGGAAGGAACCUCUCAGGCAAAAGUACCGCUCCCGGACC